CUCUGUCCUCACCUCUCUCUGUAUCUCUCUCUGUCCUCACCUCUCUCUGUCCUCGCCUCUCUCUGUAUCUCUCUCUGUAUCUCUCUCUGUAUCUCUCUCUGUAUCUCUCUCUCUGAUAAUGUAUGUAGUCUUUCUCUUCUGAAACUAAUAUCUGAAUCUCAUCUAGUCAGUGGUAAGGAACAAAUCAAAAAUGACAGGAAUCAAUGGAAUCUAAGACAAGACCGUAACCAUCCUUUCUCAUAUUUGUAUAAGCUAGUUUGCAUGUUAAAGUUGUUAUUUCCAUGGACAUGUCAAGUGUUACAGCAGUAACUGUUCUGGAGUCAUAUUGUGGUGAUUGGACAUGUCAGGUGUUACAGCAGUAACUGUUCUGGAGUCAUAUUGUGGUGAUUGGACAUGUUUCAUACUGCCUGCUUGGUUGACAGGGGCUGUGAGAGUUAAUGGAGAGAUGAGUGAAGGAAAGCUGUAGGACGGAGCACAGAAAAGCACCUCUAACAGGUUCCAGGGUUCUAGUGAGAGUGUCAGAGACACACAGAGAUCAUUUUAAAGUAUAGAUGGGUCGUCUUAUUUUGCUACGGCUUGGUAGUGUUUUUCACUAAAGCUUUUUGAUUUGAUGAUUGAGAACAUGGGAGAAAGGAAGUACCUUUUUUAUUAGGUUUUACACUUCUGAUAUGAAGAUAUCUUCUCACCAAUCAGACUGGCUGAGGGGAAGAAGUAUGGGACUACAAUAGAACACUUACAUCCAGUGUGGAACUACAAUUCCCAAUAUUCACAGCUCCAGAGACCGAUUACCACCAUCACUCUCUCAAGGUGUCCCGUGUCACAACUGUUGACAUGGGUCUCUCCCAACAACUCCAUUAACCACAAUGCCUUGCAUCACACUCCAGGAGGAACUAGUGUGAAUAUAACUUAAGAUUACAAAUGUAGUUCUAUUGCCAAAUAUUAACUAGCAGUUAUCCAGAGGGUUGCAGUCAGGUCUAUAUGGCUGUUUACACAGGCAGUCCCAUUCUGAUCUUUUGACCAAUUAGUGGCAAAAGAUCUGACCUAAUUGGUCAAAAGAUCAAUUAGUGGCAACACCCCCAGAAUGGGUCUGCCUGUAUAAACACAGCCUAUGAGCGAGUAGAGAGACCCUCUGACGGGGUGUGUCCUAAACAGCACUCUUUUUCCUAUAUAGUGCACUACUUUUGACAAAAGCCCUAUAGGUGUGUAUCUGUGGGUGCUGAGGUGUAGACAGGGCUGAGGUGGAGUUAUCUGUAGAGGGGGACUCUACAUUAGAUGGGCAUCCAUUUUGUUUCUGGUGCUAGUUUCAGUAAAGUUCGGUUUAAUCACAAAAUUAUUUCCUCAAUUCCCUCGUUUCCUUUCCUUGGUUCUUCUCUAAUUCUUUGCUCGCUUCCGUCAGAUGUUUUGAGGAGGAGAGAGAGAGAGAGAGAGAGGACGUAGGGGAGGGAAUCAGGAAAAUACCUUUUGAGAUCCACCCUUUCAGAGUGUCUUUCAGAACCCUGUGGGCCGGGAGUGGAGAGGUGGUGGUAGUCAGUUCUUCAGGGUAUGUGCAUGUGAUGUACCAUCCACCCAAUCAGUGACUUCCUAUGUAACGCCCUUUGACGCCAUCUUUGAACUGCUUUACUUCCAUCAUUAAUGAUCUUCUUUCUGUCUGACUUCUUUAAAGUCAUUUUAAGAUUAUAUUUAAUAAAUAUCUUGUUCUUCUCUUGUC